AAAGCAAUGUCGAAGCAAAAGUUCAUUUAAAGGAAGAUGCUAUAAUUGUGGCCACAAAGGCCACAAAAUGAAUGAAUGCAAGAAAAAGUUUAAUCGUAUGAGAAGAAGACGACGUUGCUACAUAUGCAAAAGAUUGGGCCAUGUUGCCAAGCAGUGUAGGGAAGGAAACCUACCAGUCAAAAACGUGCUGAACAAUUGCAGCAACUGCACAAUAAACCUUACAAGGAAAUAAAUUUUAAAUAUUUUUUUUUUGUCAUUUAGUCAUCUUUAGCAGAAAUACAAAAAGAUUAUAUAUUGUUUUUUUUCUCAAAACUUCAUUAAAAGAAAAUUCUUAUUGCAAAUAUGUUGUGUAACUUAGUCUGAUUGCACUAACA